UGGACAGAGGAGCCUGGUGGGCUACAGUCCAUGGGGUUGCAGACUCAGACACAACUGAACCAAUUUAGCAUGUACGCAUGUACAUAUAGAGCCCUGAGCCUGGAACUACCACUGGGGAAAAACUGGAAGCUUUGGAUGAACACGUCUGCUGUUUAUGAAGAGGAAAGAAUGAUGUUGCAUAGAAGGUUAGCAGCAGUGAAGAGACUGUGUUCAUUCCUCAUCUAUCAGCAGAACCAAAUACAGUGGCUUCCUUGCUGAAAAUUGCAUUCAUUGUUACCACCAAGAAACUGUUGAAUGUUUUCUGGUUUGCUGCUGCUGCUAAGUCGCAUCAG